AGAGUUUGAUCAUGGCUCAGAUUGAACGCUGGCGGCAGGCCUAACACAUGCAAGUCGAGCGGUAGCACAGAGAGCUUGCUCUCGGGUGACGAGCGGCGGACGGGUGAGUAAUGUCUGGGAAACUGCCUGAUGGAGGGGGAUAACUACUGGAAACGGUAGCUAAUACCGCAUAAUGUCGCAAGACCAAAGUGGGGGACCUUCGGGCCUCAUGCCAUCAGAUGUGCCCAGAUGGGAUUAGCUAGUAGGUGGGGUAACGGCUCACCUAGGCGACGAUCCCUAGCUGGUCUGAGAGGAUGACCAGCCACACUGGAACUGAGACACGGUCCAGACUCCUACGGGAGGCAGCAGUGGGGAAUAUUGCACAAUGGGCGCAAGCCUGAUGCAGCCAUGCCGCGUGUGUGAAGAAGGCCUUCGGGUUGUAAAGCACUUUCAGCGGGGAGGAAGGCGUUAAGGUUAAUAACCUUGGCGAUUGACGUUACCCGCAGAAGAAGCACCGGCUAACUCCGUGCCAGCAGCCGCGGUAAUACGGAGGGUGCAAGCGUUAAUCGGAAUUACUGGGCGUAAAGCGCACGCAGGCGGUCUGUCAAGUCGGAUGUGAAAUCCCCGGGCUCAACCUGGGAACUGCAUUCGAAACUGGCAGGCUAGAGUCUUGUAGAGGGGGGUAGAAUUCCAGGUGUAGCGGUGAAAUGCGUAGAGAUCUGGAGGAAUACCGGUGGCGAAGGCGGCCCCCUGGACAAAGACUGACGCUCAGGUGCGAAAGCGUGGGGAGCAAACAGGAUUAGAUACCCUGGUAGUCCACGCCGUAAACGAUGUCGAUUUGGAGGUUGUGCCCUUGAGGCGUGGCUUCCGGAGCUAACGCGUUAAAUCGACCGCCUGGGGAGUACGGCCGCAAGGUUAAAACUCAAAUGAAUUGACGGGGGCCCGCACAAGCGGUGGAGCAUGUGGUUUAAUUCGAUGCAACGCGAAGAACCUUACCUGGUCUUGACAUCCACAGAACUUAGCAGAGAUGCUUUGGUGCCUUCGGGAACUGUGAGACAGGUGCUGCAUGGCUGUCGUCAGCUCGUGUUGUGAAAUGUUGGGUUAAGUCCCGCAACGAGCGCAACCCUUAUCCUUUGUUGCCAGCGGUCCGGCCGGGAACUCAAAGGAGACUGCCAGUGAUAAACUGGAGGAAGGUGGGGAUGACGUCAAGUCAUCAUGGCCCUUACGACCAGGGCUACACACGUGCUACAAUGGCAUAUACAAAGAGAAGCGACCUCGCGAGAGCAAGCGGACCUCAUAAAGUAUGUCGUAGUCCGGAUUGGAGUCUGCAACUCGACUCCAUGAAGUCGGAAUCGCUAGUAAUCGUAGAUCAGAAUGCUACGGUGAAUACGUUCCCGGGCCUUGUACACACCGCCCGUCACACCAUGGGAGUGGGUUGCAAAAGAAGUAGGUAGCUUAACCUU
rnacentral:rRNA from 1 species